AAAGUUUUCGUGAAUUCGAUCAAGUGUAGUAUCUGUUCUUAUCAGUUUAAUCGCUGAUACGUCCUCGAUGUGAGGACCGACGCAUUAAACGCAUUUUUGGUGCCGGGAGCGGGCCUCAGAGCUUGCUCCAGCCCCUCCACGAAUCGGCCCGGUAUUGCAGUGCCUCUUUUUCUUUCUUUCUUU
rfam:Alligator mississippiensis ScZkoYb_132, whole genome shotgun sequence.